rnacentral:tRNA from 1 species
GGUGGGUUGCCCGAGCGGAAAGGGGCUCGGUUGCUAUCCGAAGGCCGCUCCGACGAGGAGCGCGGAGGUUCGAUCCCUCCACCCACCG